GCUGACGCAUGCGCAUAGCUAACCGCACCCGGUUCAGCUCGCCUUUCUUGGCCAGAGGCGCCGGUUGGACUCACGGGCGGGGCAUGAUGGUGGUGGGUACAGGCACCUCGCUGGCGCUCUCCUCCCUCCUGUCCCUGCUGCUCUUCGCUGGGAUGCAGAUGUACAGCCGUCAGCUGGCCUCCACCGAGUGGCUCACCAUCCAGGGCGGCCUGCUUGGUUCGGGUCUCUUCGUGUUCUCGCUCACUGCCUUCAAUAAUCUGGAGAAUCUUGUCUUUGGCAAAGGAUUCCAAGCAAAGAUCUUCCCUGAGAGUAACCUAAAAUCCUUUCCUGCCCCCAUGAAGAAGUGGAUCCAAGCACUCUGCCCUCCAACCUGUGUCCAGGGAGCAAGGCCUUCAACUUCCACCACUGGUCACCCAGCUUAAUGAAUUGACUCUCAUUGUCUGGCUUCUUUUGGAAAGGGUUUAACUGGGUUCCCCAAAUGGGAACACACCUUGCCCUUCAGACUCUGUUGUCCAUCACCUUUCCUUUUCCCUUUUAUGGGAGGAAAGCCAGGGUAGGGAAGUUAUGUGAGAUUUGGGGCAGAGCUGGUAAAAAAAAAAGCAUACAUCUACAUCCAUGUUCUUUUUUUUUUUUUUUUUUUGGAGACGGGGUCUCACUCUGUUGCCCAGGCUGGAGUGCAGUGGUGCGAUCACAGUUCACUGCAGCUUUGAACUUCCUGGCUCAAGGGUUCCUCCAACUUCAGCCUCCUGAAUAGCUGGGACUACAGGCAUGUGUACCACUGUACUACCAUGCCUGGCUAAAUUUUUUUUAAUUCAAUUUUUUUUUUUUUUAAGAGAUGGGUCUCACUUUGUUGUUCAGGCUGGUCUCAAACUCCUGGGCUCAAGUGAUCUGCCCACCUCAGCCUCCCGAAGUGCUGGGAUUCCAGGUGCAAGCCACCACACUCAACCUCGUACCUCCAUGUUCUGGGUAUCAUUAAGUUCUCCUGUGCCUCCUGUUGGCUCUCUUUGCAUCUGGCCUCAUCCACCGAGUCUGUGUCACCACCUGCUUCAUCUUCUCCAUGGUUGGUCUGUACUACAUCAACAAGAUCUCCUCCACCCUGUACCAGGCAGCAGCUCCAGUCCUCACACCAGCCAAGGUCACAGGCAAGAGCAAGAAGAGAAACUGACCCUGAAUGUUCAAUAAAGUUGAUUCUUUGUA